UACGUAGGCAGCAAGCGUUGUUCGGAGUUACUGGGCGUAAAGGGUGCGUAGGCGGCUUGGUAAGUGUGGUGAUGAAAUCUCCCGGCUCAACUGGGAGGGUGCGCUACAAACUGCCGGGCUAGAGUGCGGGAGAGGAGAGUGGAAUUCCUGGUGUAGCGGUGAAAUGCGUAGAUAUCAGGAGGAACACCGGUGGUGUAAACGGCUCUCUGGACCGUAACUGACGCUGAGGCACGAAAGCGUGGGUAGCAAACAGG
rnacentral:rRNA from 1 species